rnacentral:rRNA from 1 species
AUUGAACGCUGGCGGCAGGCCUAACACAUGCAAGUCGAGCGAGCGGCGUACUGGUGAGUAAUGUAUGGGGACUGCCCGAUAGAGGGUGAUAACUACUGGAACCGGUGGCUAAUACCGCAUACUAUCGGAUAACCCAUAUGGGAUUAGCUAGUAGGUGGGGUAAAGGCUCACCUAGGCGACGAUCUCUAGCUGGUCUGAGAGGAUGAUUACGCAGACUGGUACUGAGACGCGGCCCAGACUCCUAGGGAGGCAGCAGUGAGGAAUAUUGCACGAUGGGCGCAAGCCAAAUGCAGCCAUGCCGCGUGUAUGAAGAAGGCCUUAGGGUUGUAAAGGAUGGUCAGUGGGGAGGCGUUACCAGCAGAAGAAGCACCGGCUAACUGCGUGCCAGCAGACGCGGUAAUAC